UCUAGGUUCUUGCCUUCUUCGCAUAUAGAUAGGGACUUACCAGGAAAUCAAAGCCAAGAAUUGCCAGAUGAAUUUAAUGUUAAACACAGAGAAGGUCGAUUUGUUUUUGUAAAAGGCCUGCUAAGAUCCUCUUCCUUUAUUUUCUUUCCGGUCUUACCUGUGUGCUUGGUAUAAAGAAAUACACAGGUUUCACUUAUCAGCAGCCAAAAAUAUAGGUUCAAAAGCUUAUUAUUUACCUUGCUUUGGUUUUGCCUCCGCAUACAUAUAAAAAAUAACAGUUUUUAGUCAUAUUCACGUCUGUUUUUGCCUAAGCAAAAAGAAAACAUAAUCAGUUUAUAUCCCACUCUGGCUAUCAAUUUUCCUAUGUUUUCAGCCACAAGUUCCUUGCUGCCCUAUCAUCUUCAUCUUGUUAUUUGGUUGCUGCUACGCAAACUGUGGUGAUUUACUGCCUUCUGAUCUUCUCACUACUCAAUCAAGGUCCUUUCUGAAAAGCUUCAGGGCGGUAUGAGCGCUAAAAAGCUCCACCUUGUUGUUGACGCUGUUGGACUUGGUAAGCUUGAUGAAGCCGAGGUCCAUAAGAAAUAUAUUAUGCCGUCAUCCUAUACCGGUGGGCUUUGCUGUAUAAUUGAAAACUUUCACGCCGCGAUGACUAUUUCCUGAGCCCAAGCCUCGCCUGAUAUAAUCACAACCUUCAUGUGUAAUCCAAAGUGGCCUGAAAUAAUGGAGAGUCUUGAACCUGGGCAAAAAAUAGUCGAUAGGGCUGAUAUUACCGUUCGAGUAUAUCGCAUGAAACUGCUUGAGUACCUACAGAAGAUCGGGACCAGAAAGAUGACCAUGCCCAGUGCAUUUUCUCUCCUUUCUUUGUUUUUCUUACCCAUGUUUCUUAUUUUUCAUGUUUUUUCGUUUACCCUCCUGUUUUCCAGUUCUCUACACCAUAGAGUUUGAAAAGAUGGGUCUUCCACACGCACGUGUCCUUGUUUGGCAGGAGAAGGAUAAUGACCGGGUGGUCACACCAACUUUCAUAAAUUCUUUUGUUUCAACUACUGGAUCUGAACUGGCCGGCGUUGCUGCUAUGCACUUACUAACACCAUGGAAACUGGACUUGCUCAACCACCUAGGCUUAAGAGGGGUGCUGCUACUAGUGUAAAAAAAGUUUUAUCGGAAGAACUAAAGUAGUAGCUAAUCCAAGCAUUGAAGAAGUGACACAGAGGUUAUGCUAUAUUGGCAUGAAGUCAGAGCAGCGCUAAAUACCACACAAGAUUUCUGGUGACCUUCAGUUUAUAUGUACUAACCAACAACAGCCACCUCUUGUUUCGUAUCAAUCAAUCCAGUAUCUUUGCCCUUUUGGCGUUGCUCUGAGCAAGAUAUGUAUAGCCUUUAGAUUUCCAUUUGUGUAUGAUAUUGCAUGUACACUUUAGACCUCGUUACUGUCUCCAUGGUCAAAAGAAGCUUGU